rnacentral:SRP_RNA from 1 species
GACUCGGCCCCAUGCGGCUGUGACGCUUAAAUCUGGUCAGGACCGGAAGGUAGCAGCCAUACGGGAUGCUCAAAGCAGGCGUGGACUCCGGGUCACCUUAA